GGUUUGGUGGUCUAGUGGUAUGAUUCUCGCUUAGGGUCCACCCUUCAAGCUAUAGCAUGCGAGAGGUCCCGGGUUCAAUCCCCGGCCAAACCC